GUUGAUAAGGUUAAGUGAAUAAGGGCGCACGGUGGAUGCCUUGGCACUAGGAGCCGAUGAAGGACGGGACUAACACCGAUAUGCUUUGGGGAGCUGUAAGUAAGCUAUGAUCCAGAGAUUUCCGAAUGGGGGAACCCAAUAUCUUUUAUAGGAUAUUACUUUUCAGUGAAUACAUAGCUGAUUAGAGGUAGACGCAGAGAACUGAAACAUCUUAGUACCUGCAGGAAGAGAAAGAAAAUUCGAUUCCCUGAGUAGCGGCGAGCGAAACGGGAAGAGCCCAAACCAACAAGCUUGCUUGUUGGGGUUGUAGGACUCCGAUAUGGUAGUCUGUUAGUAUAGUUGAAGGAUUUGGAAAAUUCCGCUAAAGAGGGUGAAAGCCCCGUAGACGAAAUGCUGACAACACCUAGGAGGAUCCUGAGUACGGCGGAACACGAGAAAUUCCGUCGGAAUCCGCGGGGACCAUCCCGCAAGGCUAAAUACUCCCUAGUGACCGAUAGUGAACCAGUACCGUGAGGGAAAGGUGAAAAGCACCCCGGAAGGGGAGUGAAAUAGAUCCUGAAACCGUGUGCCUACAACAAGUCAAAGCUCGUUAAUGAGUGAUGGCGUGCCUUUUGUAGAAUGAACCGGCGAGUUACGAUUGCAUGCGAGGUUAAGUCGAAGAGACGGAGCCGCAGCGAAAGCGAGUCUGAAUAGGGCGAAUGAGUAUGUAGUCGUAGACCCGAAACCAUGUGAUCUACCCAUGUCCAGGUUGAAGGUGCGGUAAAACGCACUGGAGGACCGAACCCACGUACGUUGAAAAGUGCGGGGAUGAGGUGUGGGUAGCGGAGAAAUUCCAAACGAACUUGGAGAUAGCUGGUUCUCUCCGAAAUAGCUUUAGGGCUAGCCUCGGAAUUGAGAAUGAUGGAGGUAGAGCACUGUUUGGACUAGGGGCCCAUCUCGGGUUACCGAAUUCAGAUAAACUCCGAAUGCCAUUCAUUUAUAUCCGGGAGUCAGACUGCGAGUGAUAAGAUCCGUAGUCGAAAGGGAAACAGCCCAGACCACCAGCUAAGGUCCCAAAAUAUAUGUUAAGUGGAAAAGGAUGUGGGGUUGCACAGACAACUAGGAUGUUGGCUUAGAAGCAGCCACCAUUUAAAGAGUGCGUAAUAGCUCACUAGUCGAGUGACCCUGCGCCGAAAAUGUACCGGGGCUAAACAUAUUACCGAAGCUGUGGACUACACCAUUAGGUGUAGUGGUAGGAGAGCGUUCUAAGGGCGUUGAAGGUCGAUCGUGAGGACGGCUGGAGCGCUUAGAAGUGAGAAUGCCGGUAUGAGUAGCGAAAGACAGGUGAGAAUCCUGUCCACCGUAUGACUAAGGUUUCCUGGGGAAGGCUCGUCCGCCCAGGGUUAGUCGGGACCUAAGCCGAGGCCGAUAGGCGUAGGCGAUGGACAACAGGUUGAUAUUCCUGUACCAGUUGUUUUUGUUUGAGCAAUGGAGGGACGCAGUAGGCUAAGGAAUGCAUGCGAUUGGAAGUGCAUGUCCAAGCAAUGAGUCUUGAGUAGAGUUAAAUGCUUUACUCUCUAAGGACAAGUUGUGACGGGGAGCGAAAUAAUAGUAGCGAAGUUCCUGAUGUCACACUGCCAAGAAAAGCUUCUAGUGAGAAAACAACUGCCCGUACCGUAAACCGACACAGGUAGUCGAGGAGAGUAUCCUAAGGUGAGCGAGCGAACUCUCGUUAAGGAACUCGGCAAAAUGACCCCGUAACUUCGGGAGAAGGGGUGCUGACUUC
rnacentral:rRNA from 1 species